GAUGAACGCUGACAGAAUGCUUAACACAUGCAAGUCAACUUGAAUUUGGGUUUUUAACUUAGGUUUGGGUGGCGGACGGGUGAGUAACGCGUAAAGAACUUGCCUCACAGCUAGGGACAACAUUUGGAAACGAAUGCUAAUACCUAAUAUUAUGAUAAUAGGGCAUCCUAUAAUUAUGAAAGCUAUAAGCGCUGUGAGAGAGCUUUGCGUCCCAUUAGCUAGUUGGAGAGGUAACGGCUCACCAAGGCGAUGAUGGGUAGCCGGCCUGAGAGGGUGAUCGGCCACAAAGGGACUGAGACACGGCCCUUACUCCUACGGGAGGCAGCAGUGGGGAAUAUUGGACAAUGGACCGAGAGUCUGAUCCAGCAAUUCUGUGUGCACGAUGAAGUUUUUCGGAAUGUAAAGUGCUUUCAGUUGGGAAGAAACAAAUGACGGUACCAACAGAAGAAGUGACGGCUAAAUACGUG
rnacentral:rRNA from 1 species